GAUGAACGCUGGCGGCGUGCCUAACACAUGCAAGUCGAGCGAACAGACGAGGAGCUUGUUCCUCUGACGUUAGCGGCGGGCGGGUGAGUAACACGUGGAUCACCUACUUCUAUGUCUGGGAUAACUUCGGAAAACCGGAGCUAAUACCGGAUAAUAUAUUGAACCGCAUGGUUCAAUAGUGAAUGACGGUUUUGCUGUUACUUAUAGAUGGUUCCGCGCCGCAUUAGCUAGUUGGUAAGGUAACGGCUUACCAAGGCAACGAUGCGUAGCCGACCUGAGAGGGUGAUCGGCCACACUGGAACUGAGACACGGUCCAGACUCCUACGGGAGGCAGCAGUAGGGAAUCUUCGGCAAUGGGCGAAAGCCUGACGGAGCAACGCCGCGUGAGUGAUGAAAGUCUUCGGAUCGUAAAGCCCUGUUAUUGGGGAAGAACAAAUGUGUAAGUAACUAUGGACGUCUUGACGGUACCUAAACAAAAAGCCACGGCUAACUACGUG
rnacentral:rRNA from 1 species